rnacentral:rRNA from 1 species
GUCUUCGGCCGUACCACCCCACCAACGUGCCCGAUCUCGUCUGAUCUCUGAAGCUAAGCAGGGUCGGGCCUGGUUAGUACUUGGAUGGGAGAAUGAUGUGGAUUAUUUUUAUGUGCCUAUUUUC